UACGUAGGGGGCAAGCGUUGUCCGGAAUCAUUGGGCGUAAGGAGCGCGUAGGCGGCCCUGUAAGUCCGCUGUGAAAGUCAAGGGCUCAACCCUUGGAUGCCGGUGGAUACUGCAGGGCUAGAGUCCGGAAGAGGCGAGUGGAAUUCCUGGUGUAGCGGUGAAAUGGCGUAGAUAUCGAGAGGAACACCUGCGGCGAAGGCGGGUGCUGGGCUGAUACUGACGCUGAGGCGCGAAAGCUAGGGGAGCGAACGGG
rnacentral:rRNA from 1 species